GCUCUAUGUAAAUGAAGAAGUCACAUUGCAGGAGGGAUCUUUAAGAAAAGCCAGCUGUUCUCAACAACCAAAGGCAACACAGACCAGUCACACUCACCUGAUGAACCAGAUAAGCUAUUCUACACAAAACCUGGGAUGUUAACAGGAGAAACUCCAGGACCUGCAGAACUCCUUCUAUAGAAUGGCUGGUUUGGUGUUCUGGAGUCUAGCCCUGGAUUU